GGCUUAACACAUGCAAGUCGAGGGGCAGCACAGGUAGCAAUACCGGGUGGCGACCGGCGCACGGGUGAGUAACGCGUAUGCAACUUACCUAUCAGAGGGGGAUAACCCGGCGAAAGUCGGACUAAUACCGCAUGAAGCAGGGGCCCCGCAUGGGGAUAUUUGCUAAAGAUUCAUCGCUGAUAGAUAGGCAUGCGUUCCAUUAGGCAGUUGGCGGGGUAACGGCCCACCAAACCGACGAUGGAUAGGGGUUCUGAGAGGAAGGCCCCCCACAUUGGUACUGAGACACGGACCAAACUCCUACGGGAGGCAGCAGUGAGGAAUAUUGGUCAAUGGCCGAGAGGCUGAACCAGCCAAGUCGCGUGAGGGAUGAAGGUUCUAUGGAUCGUAAACCUCUUUUAUAAGGGAAUAAAGUGCGGGACGUGUCCCGUUUUGUAUGUACCUUAUGAAUAAGGAUCGGCUAACUCCGUGCCAGCAGCCGCGGUAAUACGGAGGAUCCGAGCGUUAUCCGGAUUUAUUGGGUUUAAAGGGUGCGUAGGCGGCCUUUUAAGUCAGCGGUGAAAGUCUGUGGCUCAACCAUAGAAUUGCCGUUGAAACUGGGGGGCUUGAGUAUGUUUGAGGCAGGCGGAAUGCGUGGUGUAGCGGUGAAAUGCAUAGAUAUCACGCAGAACCCCGAUUGCGAAGGCAGCCUGCCAAGCCAUUACUGACGCUGAUGCACGAAAGCGUGGGAAUCAAACAGGAUUAGAUACCCUGGUAGUCCACGCAGUAAACGAUGAUCACUAGCUGUUUGCGAUACACUGUAAGCGGCACAGCGAAAGCGUUAAGUGAUCCACCCUGGGGAGUACGCCGGCAACGGUGAAACUCAAAGGAAUUGACGGGGGCCCGCACAAGCGGAGGAACAUGUGGUUUAAUUCGAUGAUACGCGAGGAACCUUACCCGGGUUUGAACGCAUUCGGACCGAGGUGGAAACACCUUUUCUAGCAAUAGCCGUUUGCGAGGUGCUGCAUGGUUGUCGUCAGCUCGUGCCGUGAGGUGUCGGCUUAAGUGCCAUAACGAGCGCAACCCUUGCCACUAGUUACUAACAGGUAAAGCUGAGGACUCUGGUGGGACUGCCAGCGUAAGCUGCGAGGAAGGCGGGGAUGACGUCAAAUCAGCACGGCCCUUACAUCCGGGGCGACACACGUGUUACAAUGGCGUGGACAAAGGGAAGCCACCUGGCGACAGGGAGCGAAUCCCCAAACCACGUCUCAGUUCGGAUCGGAGUCUGCAACCCGACUCCGUGAAGCUGGAUUCGCUAGUAAUCGCGCAUCAGCCAUGGCGCGGUGAAUACGUUCCCGGGCCUUGUACACACCGCCCGUCAAGCCAUGGGAGCCGGGGGUACCUGAAGUCCGUAACCGCGAGGAUCGGCCUAGGGUAAAACUGGUGACUGGGGCUAAGU
rnacentral:rRNA from 1 species